GUCCUGCAGUGCGGAGAGAGUCAGCUAAUCUCUCUCAGCCAAUGAGCUAAUCCUUGCACUGCCGGACGUGGCUCAGACAGAGAGAUAUUGGCUCUCCUGUAAGCUGUAGUGGAUGUGGGGAGCAGCCCUCCCUGUACGAAGUCAAACUCUUCUAAAAUGGCUUGACUACUCAAAUGGGAGUGGGAUGCCAGAGCAAUCCUGGCACCAUAUGCACAACAGUCCACUCAAGUGGUUAUGGUGCUUGGAGUGUUCAUUUAAAGGGACACUGUAGGCACUGUAACCGCUUCAUGUCGUUAGAGUGGUUUUAGUAUCUGGAGUACCAUGGCACCAUCCUUCUGUUCAUUCGUUUUUGUGUAUUUGUUUUGUUUUGGCCUCAUAUCCAUAGUGUCAUUUUCUCCAAAUUCAAAUCACUAGUUUAGCUAAAAAAUAAAAAAAUCUUUCCAGCUUUGUGUUGGGUAGUUUUAAAACGACUUUUGUAUUCGACAUACAGUGAGUACAUACCAAAUCGGUGAGAGGUUAGUGUGAGCUGAGUUGCUGACAUAGCUCCAACCGACAGCCAAUCACGGAACUGCUCCCUUUCCCGUUAGUGUGGCAUUGAUAUAUUAUAUACAGAUAAAAAGAGGACAGCGAUUGCUGUGGGGCCGAGUCAACUCAACACCACAACUCCCACUAUACUCUCAUUGGAGAAAUCCUUGCACCACAGCCUGCACGGGAGCCUCUUCCCAAUUUGGCUAUGAGUAGUGACAUGUGUGAUGGCGGGAGAGAAAGAGGACCCGGAGGACAUUGUGGUGUAGGUUUAGGGACUGACAAGUUUAUGGCUAUAGUGU